rnacentral:rRNA from 1 species
AACGAACGCUGGCGGCAGGCCUAACACAUGCAAGUCGAACGCUCCGCAAGGGGAGUGGCAGACGGGUGAGUAACACGUGGGAACCUACCUCGAGGUGCGGAACAACCAAGGGAAACUUUGGCUAAUACCGCAUGUGCCCUUAGGGGGAAAGAUUUAUCGCCUUGGGAUGGGCCCGCGUCGGAUUAGCUAGUUGGUGUGGUAAUGGCGCACCAAGGCGACGAUCCGUAGCUGGUCUGAGAGGAUGAUCAGCCACACUGGGACUGAGACACGGCCCAGAAUCCUACGGGAGGCAGCAGUGGGGAAUAUUGGACAAUGGGCGCAAGCCUGAUCCAGCCAUGCCGCGUGUGUGAUGAAGGCCUUAGGGUUGUAAAGCACUUUCGCCGAUGAAGAUAAUGACUGUAGUCGGAGAAGAAGCCCCGGCUAACUUCGUGCCAGCCGCCGCUGUAAGAC